rnacentral:lncRNA from 1 species
GUGGAUUAUAUCGAGUAUGAACAUCAUAAUUUGAAAUACAAUAGUCAAUUAGUUAAAUUUAAAGGUCUGACGAACGAAUAUUGAAGUGUGAAAUAUAUCAUAAAUGUUUGAACAAUAUAAUUUCAAAUACAAUUAUUCAUUUUUAGAAGUACCAUAUAAGUAGCUUUGAAUUUAAUUUAUACUAUUAAAUGCAUUCACAAAUCCCCCUUUUGCAGACUGGAAAUUUUGGACUAUAACAGAGAAAACUGCGACAAUCUUUACUAGAAUCACAUGAAGUAAGCUCUAUGAUGCCAAAUAAUAAAAAAUAAUUGUUAGUAAUAUGCAAUGAAACAUUGUGUAUAAGAUUAAGUAGAGAAAUUUUUAUUCAAAAAAAAAAAAAAUUAAGUAGAGAAAUUUGAUUUAUUUACUUUUUGUAAAAAUAAACUCACUGCCGGUUGCCACAUUGAACAUGAAAAGAUAAAUAAUCAUUACAUAAACAAACUUCAUUAUUUCACCCAU